GCUGCACUGGAAUAAUAAUACUCUUCUGUUGCAUAGCACACAUCAUUUACUGUAAUACCAAUGGCAGGCAAAACAUGCAUUAUUAUUCCUUUGUAAUAAAUAAGAAAAAUUGGUGCUUACAGAAGUUAAAAGAAUUGCUAAGGUCACACAGAAUAACAAGAAUACAUUAAAAACUUAAAAUAAGAAUUAUUGCCUCAAUUUCCAGUCAUUCUAUUCUAUUAUUCUAUUCUAUUCUAUUCUAUUCUAUUCUAUUCUAUUCUAUUCUAUUCUAUUCUAUUCUAAUCAUAGGUAUAAGUCAGAUUAGCUAUUGAGAGACCCAACCUCCUUUAUAGAAGAUGGAGUGGCUGGUGUAGGGACAACCUUCCAAAGGAGCUUCUUUAAUGAACCACAGCGGAUGGUGCUGUCCCUCACUGCACAGUGAGGUGGGGCCAGGGCACCAAACUGCCUUUGCAAACACCUUCCUGUCAGGAAAAGGUGCUCAGAAGGCGAGAAGGCUUGUCAUCCUUCACAGCAAAAUCAUUUCCCUGUUUGUGAUGUGAAUUAUUCACUAAUAUAAUUAUACUACAUGCUGAUAUUGGAUAACAGAAUUGAAAUAAGCCAAGACAAAAAUCAGGAGUGGUAAGAAACUAUAAGAAGAAGGAAGAUUUGCUGGCACUGCAUUUAAGGACAUUUUCAUAAAAGUUAGACAAUACUUGGUUCACUUAUUCCACAGAGGGGAAAAAAUCUCCACAUCUAUUAUUCUACUUCCUCACACUCAUAACUUAUACACAUGUAUUUAGGCCAUAGUGAGAAGACAUAAAAGAAAUCAAAUUAUUGGUGAUAGAUUUAUUCAUUUAAGACCGUUUGAUUCCCAAAGAGUUUUUUAAAAAGUGGCUCUUUUCUAUGGAG
rnacentral:lncRNA from 12 species